rnacentral:rRNA from 1 species
CAGCAGCCACGGGAAUACGAAGGGUGCAAGCGUUACUCGGAAUUACUGGGCGUAAAGCGUGCGUAGGUGGUGGUUUAAGUCCGUUGUGAAAGCCCUGGGCUCAACCUGGGAAUUGCAGUGGAUACUGGGUCACUAGAGUGUGGUAGAGGAUAGUGGAAUUUCCGGUGUAGCAGUGAAAUGCGUAGAGAUCGGAAGGAACAUCUGUGGCGAAGGCGACUAUCUGGGCCAACACUGACACUGAGGCACGAAAGCGUGGGGAGCAAACAGGAUUAGAUACCCGAGUAGUCCCUGUCUCUUAUAA